UAGCUGGCGCGAUAUAUAAUGCAGUCGAGCGAAUCGAUGGGAGCUUGCUCCCUGAGAUUAGCGGCGGACGGGUGAGUAACACGUGGGCAACCUGCCUAUAAGACUGGGAUAACUUCGGGAAACCGGAGCUAAUACCGGAUACGUUCUUUUCUCGCAUGAGAGAAGAUGGAAAGACGGUUUACGCUGUCACUUAUAGAUGGGCCCGCGGCGCAUUAGCUAGUUGGUGAGGUAAUGGCUCACCAAGGCGACGAUGCGUAGCCGACCUGAGAGGGUGAUCGGCCACACUGGGACUGAGACACGGCCCAGACUCCUACGGGAGGCAGCAGUAGGGAAUCUUCCGCAAUGGACGAAAGUCUGACGGAGCAACGCCGCGUGAACGAAGAAGGCCUUCGGGUCGUAAAGUUCUGUUGUUAGGGAAGAACAAGUACCAGAGUAACUGCUGGUACCUUGACGGUACCUAACCAGAAAGCCACGGCUAACUACGUGCCAGCAGCCGCGGUAAUACGUAGGUGGCAAGCGUUGUCCGGAAUUAUUGGGCGUAAAGCGCGCGCAGGUGGUUCCUUAAGUCUGAUGUGAAAGCCCACGGCUCAACCGUGGAGGGUCAUUGGAAACUGGGGAACUUGAGUGCAGAAGAGGAAAGUGGAAUUCCAAGUGUAGCGGUGAAAUGCGUAGAGAUUUGGAGGAACACCAGUGGCGAAGGCGACUUUCUGGUCUGUAACUGACACUGAGGCGCGAAAGCGUGGGGAGCAAACAGGAUUAGAUACCCUGGUAGUCCACGCCGUAAACGAUGAGUGCUAAGUGUUAGAGGGUUUCCGCCCUUUAGUGCUGCAGCUAACGCAUUAAGCACUCCGCCUGGGGAGUACGGCCGCAAGGCUGAAACUCAAAGGAAUUGACGGGGGCCCGCACAAGCGGUGGAGCAUGUGGUUUAAUUCRAAGCAACGCGAAGAACCUUACCAGGUCUUGACAUCCUCUGACAACCCUAGAGAUAGGGCUUUCCCCUUCGGGGGACAGAGUGACAGGUGGUGCAUGGUUGUCGUCAGCUCGUGUCGUGAGAUGUUGGGUUAAGUCCCGCAACGAGCGCAACCCUUGAUCUUAGUUGCCAGCAUUCAGUUGGGCACUCUAAGGUGACUGCCGGUGACAAACCGGAGGAAGGUGGGGAUGACGUCAAAUCAUCAUGCCCCUUAUGACCUGGGCUACACACGUGCUACAAUGGAUGGUACAAAGGGCUGCAAACCUGCGAAGGUAAGCGAAUCCCAUAAAGCCAUUCUCAGUUCGGAUUGCAGGCUGCAACUCGCCUGCAUGAAGCCGGAAUCGCUAGUAAUCGCGGAUCAGCAGCAGCG
rnacentral:rRNA from 2 species